GGAGAGAUGGCUCAGUAGUUAAGAGCACUGGCUGCUUUUCCAGAAGGCCCGGGUUCAAUUCCCAGUAUCCACA
rnacentral:tRNA from 1 species